rnacentral:tRNA from 1 species
GCCCCCGUGGCUCAGCGGAUAGAGCACCAGAUAACGAAUCUGAGGGUCGCGCGGUCGAAUCGCGCCGGGGGCA